GGUUCAUUCAAAUUUCUGCCCUAUCAACUUUCGAUGGUAGGAUAGUGGCCUACCAUGGUAUCAACGGGUAACGGGGAAUUAGGGUUCUAUUCCGGAGAGGGAGCCUGAGAAACGGCUACCACAUCCAAGGAAGGCAGCAGGCGCGCAAAUUACCCAAUCCCGACCGGGGAGGUAGUGACAAUAAAUACUGAUACAGGGCUCUUUUGGGUCUUGUAAUUGGAAUGAGUACAAUUUAAAUACCUUAACGAGGAACAAUUGGAGGGCGAGUCUGGUGCCAGCAGCCGCGGUAAUUCCAGCUCCAAUAGCGUAUAUUAAAGUUGUUGCAGUUAAAAAGCUCGUAGUUG
rnacentral:rRNA from 1 species